UAAUUCUAUUGGUAGACUGCCUUCGAGCGAAUUAUGGGACAGGUUGAGGUGCAACAAGCCUGUAAGAUUGACGAGAGAUGGUGAGAUGCCCCCUUUGAGACCUCUGGCGGCCAGCAAGACAUCUGUGACUGUCCCAUCGCUGCUGCAGAUGAUGCCUUCCCAUUUGCAGCAGUCUGUGCCAUUCACCCAUGAAUCGUUGAGACCACCGUUGCCAUCUGGCAUGAGCCCAUCUAGGAAGUUGAUGAGAGAGCUAUUCUCCUGCUCCGUGCAGGAGCUGCUAGGAGAGGCAAAGAAGAGCAGGAGGACAGCAGCAAGUCGAAGGAAAGGCAUGGAUAAACCUUUUCUGUUUCUGGGCGAGGAAGGGAGCUCUUGCAUGGUGUUCUCGGGAAAUUCACCUGAAAACCAUCUGGCUAGUUGUACUGCUCUGCACACUACUAAAAGCAGCCUGAGAUUUUCAGUACUGAAGCCAUGAGGGAAACAGGAAUAGGAUGGUGGUGUGGUACUCAUGGCUCGUCGCCUUAUGUAAACUGUAUGAACAUGUGCAAAUAGGUAGCUAAGAUUUCCUCUUAUUUUGAGGAAAGCUAUACUUUUGGAAGCCGAAGACUGAAGAGGAGCAGUGACUUAGUCCGAAGGCGUGCAAAUGGGUGCAAUCAGCUACUUUGAAGUUUCUGCAAGUAGUUGAAACUGGAUGUGUACUGCAAAUGAUAAAAUUACAAGUCAACUCUUAAGAGAAGGAUACCUACAAGAAUACGCGGGUUGCUGGGUAAGUAUGGUUGGUCAUGUUGUACUUAUUUUAUCCUACUACCAAUAUGUACUUUAAGUACAAGUCUCUCUGCUAUUACAGCAGUCACUGUCAGAAAAUAAACAAUUUUGGCCAUUUUGAUUGGAACCACAUGUGGAGAGACCCCUGGUAAUAUGGACACACUUCAAUCUGGGGAAUGGGGCGGGUUGAACUGGAUGUUUUGGUCUGGAAACGUACGUGGCCUCGUUUGGAUGGGCUGAAAUAAUGGCUGCUAAAAUUUAUAACACUUCUUCUAUUUAUAAUGGGCUGGAGCGGGGCGGACUGAGGAGUUAAGUGGACUGGAUCGGGGCGGUGUGGUUUGAGGAGAAAAAAAAGGGGAAAUGGAUUGAUACCGUGGGUUCAACCCGCACCUGGCCUGACCGCUGCCGCUGUCUUGGUCGCCUGCUUCUUCCUCCCCAUCCGCUGGCCUCCGUCCCACCGCCGACCUCCACCACCUUGAUGCAACGUUGCUCCUCCACGAGCUCCACGAGACCAAGGCCGGAACAAUGAAUGAUAGAUGAAAGUGAGCAUCCAAAACAUCAGAUGAGUGAAUGCUAGAUUUGAAGGACUGGCCUCCAUUGGCCAUACUGAGUACCUGUAGUCUGUUGACUGCUUGAGCAUGGGAAAUGAUAUUAUUGUCCAAAACUCCAAGUGGAGCUCAUCCAGUCUCCCGAGCUGACCUACAAACCGGCGAUCUUGCCGCAAGCUGAAAUUCUCCUAUAAAGUUGCUGUGCCAGGCUCUGACCAUGACUGAAUUGUUUAUCACCUCCCACGUUGUACAUAGAAGGUACUCUGUAGCAGGUACUCCUAGUUUGACGUGCAGUGUGCUGGGCUGCUGGCUGUCAUAGGGUAAGAACUAUUAUCAGCAGCGUCACACCGCCGACCGACCGCGAUGGCUAGUAUUCUGAAUGUCUUGCUGGAAGUUUUGAAGUAUUGAUCCUUGCAAAAGCAAUGGAUAAAAACCAUGGCGUGUCAAAAUGGGCACUCCUGAUUUCUCUGCGGAGGAAGGGAGCCGAGAAGCUGCGGAUGACGCUUGAAGGUGCAGAGGAAGAGGAAGAACUACAACACCUGUGAAUGUUGCCAGCAUUUCCCGUUGUAAUUGAUUGAAGUUGAUACUAUGAAAUGUAUCAGGCAUUGUAAAUUCCCUUGUAAUCCAGUGGGUUUAUGUCAGUGAAUAUGUGAGUUCAGAUAUUCAGUGAAGUAAAACACCAUUGUCGUCAAGUAUGUAUUUUCUCUGCGACUUGACAUGUGGUUGAUUUGAUA